ensembl:snRNA U6 U6 spliceosomal RNA
AAGCUCAUUUCUGCACCACAUACACUAAAAUUGGAAAGACACAGAGAAGAUGAGUAGGGCCCCUGUACAAUGAUGAUGCCCAAAUUGGUGAAGUGUUCCAUAUUUAG